ACACCUCAACUCUCAUGGUCCGCCAUGAUGAGCUUGGACUCUGGAGGUCUUGCUGGCCUAGUGUCGGCUCCUCUCAAAUGGAUCAGCUUGCCAGUGUUUGGUGGCAUCACGGGCGUGAUAACUAUCUACGCUUGUGGUUUUCCGCCAUGCAACCUUCAGCGAUGGAGGUUCGCUGGAGCUCACAGAUGUCUCUCCUUGGCGAGGACAGCUUUUGAAC
rnacentral:misc_RNA from 1 species